rnacentral:rRNA from 1 species
AGCGAACGCUGGCGGCAGGCUUAACACAUGCAAGUCGAGCGGGCAUAGCAAUAUGUCAGCGGCAGACGGGUGAGUAACGCGUGGGAACGUACCUUUUGGUUCGGAACAACUGGGGGAAACUUCAGCUAAUACCGGAUAAGCCCUUACGGGGAAAGAUUUAUCGCCGAAAGAUCGGCCCGCGUCUGAUUAGCUAGUUGGUGAGGUAAUGGCUCACCAAGGCGACGAUCAGUAGCUGGUCUGAGAGGAUGAUCAGCCACAUUGGGACUGAGACACGGCCCAAACUCCUACGGGAGGCAGCAGUGGGGAAUAUUGGACAAUGGGCGCAAGCCUGAUCCAGCCAUGCCGCGUGAGUGAUGAAGGCCCUAGGGUUGUAAAGCUCUUUUGUGCGGGAAGAUAAUGACGGUACCGCAAGAAUAAGCCCCGGCUAACUUCGUG